UUUUAUUUUGAUAAUUUGAUUUUUUGUCAUGAACACGAUUAAGGAUAUAUCUUAAAUCAGUUAUCGUGGUCAUGAAGACUACAUGAGUUACGAACUUUACGAGUGAUGGGGGCGAUGGAGCUUAGGACGCUUACUAAUUUGUGACCAUAUUAAAUCCAAAUUUCAAAACUCCAAGUUGUUCAGCGAUUGCGUAGAAAAAACAAAACAAUUAGUACUUUGGUUUUCAAUGACAUGAAAACUUCAAAGUCAAAUUUUGUUUGAAAAAUUCUUCAUACGUAUCUUCAAACACAUCACUUGAGUUAGAAUGUAUGGCAAAGCAUUCUUCAAGACGUUUGACUAUAAUGUACAAAUUACUACUAGGUUUCCUGUUUUUGGAGGUUUCACCAAAGAGUACAUUGACAGCAUACGAUAAAGUUGGAGGAAAGUGGGUGCUGUUGGAUGGUCGUUGGGCCCAGAAACCUGUCUCAAAAUCCCAAAAAACUUCUAAAAUAAAUGAAAAUAGAUAUCCAUCUCCAAAAGAACUUAAUUUAUGAAAUCCAAUGAUGAACUGAUUUGUAUUACCUGGAAGAUAAUCAUAAUCUGCAUACCAUUUUAAUGGUAUGUCUGAUGAAAUGUAGCUGUCAGAACUGCAGUAACAAUGGUCAUUAUGUAUGUCUUCUAUAUUCUACACAAAUACAAAUUAUUAAAUGCAAUGUAUUGUAGUGUAUAUUAUAGUGUUAAAUUAAAAUAGUUAAUAAAACCUUUCUCUUUAACAAAUUUAGUUCUUUGUUUUUGUAAUCAUUGAUAUUGUUGACACAAGAAGUAGCUUCUAAAGUAUCCUAAAGAGUUCACAGUAUUUAUUUAUUAAUUCAACCAAGGCAACUAAAAUGUUGUAUGAAAAAAUAUGUAUUAUAGUAUAUUCACCGUUCCAAAUGUUUGUAACAAAUGUGUUGAUGGAAUAGCGCCUGCUCGCAAUUUAGGUCUUUUAAAACAAAUCUAUGAAAAACAGUUAUUAUUACUUGUAAUUAUCAGUGAUAGAGAUAAAUAAAAAAUGUAUGUGUAUUAUUUUUAACUGCGGUAAUUAACUACUAAUUUUAUAUAA